CCUACGGGUGGCAGCAGUGGGGAAUAUUGGACAAUGGGGGCAACCCUGAUCCAGCCAUGCCGCGUGUGUGAAGAAGGCCCUCGGUUUGUAAAGCACUUUCAGUGAGGAAGAACGCCUGGUGGUUAAUACCCAUCAGGAAAGACAUCACUCACAGAAGAAGCACCGGCUAACUCCGUGCCAGCAGCCGCGGUAAUACGGAGGGUGCGAGCGUUAAUCGGAAUUACUGGGCGUAAAGCGCGCGUAGGUGGCUUGAUAAGCCGGUUGUGAAAGCCCCGGGCUCAACCUGGGAACGGCAUCCGGAACUGUCAAGCUAGAGUGCAGGAGAGGAAGGUAGAAUUCCCGGUGUAGCGGUGAAAUGCGUAGAGAUCGGGAGGAAUACCAGUGGCGAAGGCGGCCUUCUGGACUGACACUGACACUGAGGUGCGAAAGCGUGGGUAGCAAACAGGAUUAGAUACCCCUGUAGUC
rnacentral:rRNA from 1 species